rnacentral:rRNA from 1 species
UGGGGAAUCUUGGACAAUGGGGGAAACCCUGAUCCAGCAAUACCGCGUGGGUGAAGAAGGCCUGAGGGUUGUAAAGCCCUUUUAGUGAGGAGGAAGGAGUAUAUGUUAAUAACAUGUACUUUUGACGUUACUCACAGAAAAAGCACCGGCUAACUCUGUGCCAGCAGCCGCGGUAAUACAGAGGGUGCGAGCGUUAAUCGGAAUUACUGGGCGUAAAGGGUGCGUAGGUGGUUACGUAAGUUAGAUGUGAAAGCCUCGGGCUCAACCUGAGAAUUGCGUUUAAUACUGUGUAGCUAGAGUGUUGUAGAGGUAAGUGGAAUUUCCGGUGUAGCGGUGAAAUGCGUAGAUAUCGGAAGGAACACCAGUGGCGAAGGCGACUUACUGGACAAUAACUGACACU